GGCCUCGUAGCUCAGAUGGCUGGAGCAUUGGCUGUACUAAAGCCAUUUUUUCUGGGAUGGGUUCGAAUCCCACCGAUACCG
rfam:Schistocephalus solidus strain NST_G2 genome assembly, scaffold: SSLN_scaffold0008074